UUUGGGGGUGAAAAAUGAGAGUUAUGUGAUGUAUAUUGAUGUUUGAUAUAUGUUGUGAAAUAUGUGUCUUGAGAUGUGAAACUUUGAUGGAAGUUAGUUUACCCCAAAAAUGGUAACUUUUGAGUUAAUGAGUUAAAUGAUGAAUUGAUGAUAUAAAUGAGUCUAUGAGGUGUAGAUGAUGAUGAUUGAUGGAUUAAUUUAAGUAUAUGAUGUCAAUUGGAGUUUUUGAUGUGGGUUAGUUUACUAAAAUUUGGGGAUAUGUGUAUAUAUGCCCUUAUUGGUGAAUUGAUG
rnacentral:lncRNA from 1 species